UAUGCGGAGGCACACCAGUGGCGAAGGCGGUGUCCUGGCCCGAGACUGACGCUGAGACGCGAACGCAUGGGUAACGAACGGGAGUAGAAACCCCGGUAGUCCAUGCCGUAACCGAUGCACACUAGGUGAUCGAGCGGCUACGCUUGUGGGACUGCCGAAGCUAACGCGAUAAGUGUCCCGCCUGGGGAGUACGCUCGCAAGGCUAAAACUCAAAGGAAAUUGACGCGGGGCCCGCACAAGCAGCGCGAGCGUAUGCUUUAAUUCGAGGCUACGCGAAGAACCUUACCUGGGUUUGACAUAUAGAUGGUAGAGAAGAUGUAAGCGGAUCGACUUUCGGGAGCAUAUACAGGUGCUGCAUGUCUGUCGUCAGCUCGUGUCGUGAGAUGUUUCGCUUAAGUCCGAAAACGAGCGCAACCCCUAGAUUUAGUUACAACGUGUCUAGAUCGACUGCCGGCGAUAAGCCGGAGGAAGUUGGGGAUGACGUCAAGUCAGCAUGGCCGGUAUAUCCAGGGCUACACACACGCUACUAUGGCGCGUACAAUGGGUAGCGAUCCCGCGAGGUGGAGCC
rnacentral:rRNA from 1 species